rnacentral:rRNA from 1 species
UACGUAGGGUGCAAGCGUUAAUCGGAAUUACUGGGCGUAAAGCGUGCACAGGCGGUUAUGUAAGACAGGUGUGAAAUCCCAGGGCUUAACCUUGGAACUGCAUUUGUGACUGCAUAGCUAGAGUACGGUAGAGGGGGGAUGGAAUUCCGCGUGUAGCAGUGAAAUGCGUAGAUAUGCGGAGGAACACCGAUGGCGAAGGCAAUCCCCUGGACCUGUACUGACGCUCAGGCGCGAAA